rnacentral:ncRNA from 1 species
CAUGUGAACAUCACUUGGACAUGGGUUAGUCGAUCCUAAGAGAUGGGGAAUCCUUGUAUCAAGGGUGCACUUUGCAUGAACAUCGAAAGAGAAUUGGGUUAAUAUUCCUGAACCGGGACAUGGUGGUGGAUGACAUUGUUAGGAAAUUUGGAGAUGUCAUCGGGGGCCUGGGAAGAGUUAUAUUUUCUUUUUAACGACUUUCCCACCCUGAAAUCGGUUCAACCGGAGAUAGGUUCCAACACCUGGAAGAGCACCAAACAUCUUGUAGUGUUUGGUGCCCCCUCGGAGGCCAUUGAAAAUAUGGAGAACCAAGUACCAUCCAUGCCCGAUCGUACUCAUAUCUGCCUCC